AUUGAACGCUGGCGGAAUGCUUUACACAUGCAGGUCGAACGGCAGCACGGACUUCGGUCUGGUGGCGAGUGGCGAACGGGUGAGUAAUGUAUCGGAACGUGCCCAGUCGUGGGGGAUAACGUAGUGAAAAUUACGCUAAUACCGCAUACGAUCUAUGGAUGAAAGCGGGGGAUCGCAAGACCUCGCGCGAUUGGAGCGGCCGAUAACGGAUUAGGUAGUUGGUGGGGUAAAGGCCCACCAAGCCAACGAUCUGUAGCUGGUCUGAGAGGACGAACGGCCACAGUGGAACGGAGACACGGUCCAGACUCCUACGGGAGGCAGCAGUGGGGAAUGUUGGACAAGGGGCGAAAGCCUGAUCCAGCCAUUCCGCGUGCAGGAUGAAGGCCCUCGGGUUGUAAACUGCUUUUGUACAGAGCGAAAAGGUUUCUACUAAUACUAGGAGCUCAUGACGGUACUGUAAGAAUAAGCACCGGCUAACUACGUGCCAGCAGCCGCCGCAG
rnacentral:rRNA from 1 species